rnacentral:tRNA from 1 species
GAUACGUUAGCCAAGUGGUUAAGGCGAUUGAUUCGAAAUCAAUUGGGGUCUCCCCGCGUAGGUUCAAAUCCUGCACGUGUCG